AUUUCCCUCCUUACUCUCUUACUUUCUUCUUCUUCUUCUUCUUUUUUUCCUUUUUUUUUUUUCUUCCUUUUUUUCUUUUUCCGGCUUCAGCUUCCUUCUCCCUCGCCGAUUUUCGCUGCCUUCCUUCCCCUUCUCCUUCGGCGUUUUGGAUUCUGCAUCUCGUUUUUCUUUUCUUUUUGGUCAUUGUCGUCUCUGGCUUUGACCAAUGAGGAUGCUGCUAGUAAGUACGUUUCUUUUUAUCUGGGUUUUUUUUCUUCUUCUUCUUUUCUCAUUCUAUAUACUACUACUACUCGAUUCUUUUGUUCUACGAAUCUUUCAACCCCAUAUGCUAUUUUCUGUUGAUUUCUGAACAAACCCUUUUCGUUUUUCUUUUUUUUUUUUUGAUUGUGUGUGUGUGUGUGUUUUUUUUUUUUUUUUGUGGGUUCUUACUCUUGUUUUUCAAUGUCUUCCAGCAUCAUCAGUUUACCUCGGGUUCUUUCUUUUUGCUCUGUUAUCUAUGUUUUUCUUUACAGAUGGUCCAGAAACCCUUUUUGACUUUUCGUGAUUUGUAUUCUCCCUUCUCUUCCGCUAUUACCCUUUUUCCCCUUCUCUCUCUCUCUUUCUCUCCUCUCCUUGAACAUUUCCUUGAUGUUGAUUUUCUGGCAGGUUUCAAUUUCUAGAUUUGAUAUCCUUCUGCAUUUUGUUACUUUCACGUUAUUGAUUUCUCUAAUUGUUGAUUCUAUCUCUCUUUGAUCUGCUUUUCUUCUUGUGGGAUUAGUUUCAUAUUCAUGUAGGUGUUUUGAUUUGCAAGUGGUUAUGUCAAUCACUUUAUUUUUUUCAUUUAUUCUCGAACUUGAAUCUGCAAUUGUGGGGAUUUGCAAAGUUUUUGUUUUUCAAUGUAGUUAUGGUUCUAGGUGUAUUUGGCUUCCUUUCUUUGUUGUCUAUCUCUUGUAGUUGGUUGAUUUAAUCAAUUCACGGUGUUGCCCCUAAGUUUCUUUCUUUUGGUUUUUUUUUUUUUUUUUUUUUUUUUUUUUUUUUCUGUAGGUGGCAUUGCUUUUGUUUCUACAAUUGAGCAAUGCUGCAAAAAUAAUCGGUGAAGAGCUCGUGGGACAGUGCGAUUCUAAACCAACAUUAGAUCCAAGACCACACAGUGUUUCUAUCUUGGAGUUUGGGGCUGUUGGAGAUGGCAAAACUCUCAACACCAUUGCCUUCCAAAAUGCGAUUUUCUAUCUUAAAUCCUUUGCUGAUAAGGGUGGAGCUCAGCUUUAUGUUCCACCUGGAAAAUGGCUUACUGGAAGCAUUAAUCUUACCAGCCACCUUACUCUUUUCCUGGAAAAAGGUGCUGUGAUUCUUGGCUCUCAGGUAUGUUCUUCUUCAUGGAUUGGUGCUCAAACAAGUAGUUGUUUGAAGGCAUUGUUUUGAAACACAUUGAUCUUCUCUUUAACAGGACCCAUCUCAUUGGGAACUUGUCAAUCCCUUGCCUUCAUAUGGGAGAGGUAUUGAAGUUCCAGGAAAACGAUACCGGAGCUUGAUAAAUGGUUACAAUUUACAAGAUGUUGUAAUAACAGGUUUGUUGCUCUCCUAAAAUCUAACCCUUUAUUCUGAAUAUAGUUUGUGGAUAUGCAUUCCUCUGAACUAGUGAUAUCAUGUUGAUUUUGGAUGUGCUAGGUGAUGAUGGGGUCAUUGAUGGACAGGGUUUAGUUUGGUGGAAUUGGUUCAGCUCUCAUUCAUUAAACUACAGCCGCCCUCACCUCGUGGAAUUUGAGGAUUCUCAAUAUGUAGUUGUUUCAAACCUCACUUUCUUGAAUACUCCUGCCUAUAACAUUCAUCCAGUCUAUUGCAGGUAUGCUAUAACAACCAGUGAUCAGUUUCUUCUGCCUCUGCUGAUUGUGUUCACCUUGUUGAUUUGUCUAUUUGCUGAUUGUCAGAGAAUCUGUAUUGAAUAAAAGUUUUUCAUGUGCAGUAACGUCUAUGUUUACAACAUCUCUGUCUCUGCACCUUCUGAAUCUCCCUACACAGUUGGAAUAGUCCCAGGUUUGUUAUGCUUCAAUUUUCAGCAUCUCAUUGUUAUUUUGUGUGACUAUUGUUGAUGGGCUCUCUCUCACUCUCUCUCUCUCUCUCUCGUUUGUUGUGAUACAUCAAUUGGCUGAAUGGCUUGAGCACCAUUGAAGAAUCUCUCUUUUAUCUCACUUUCACAUGCACACACACAGCACUUAGUACAAAGAAGAAAAUGCCAUCAAGAAAGCUAUUAUGAGCAGUUGACUGUUAACAGAUAUGUUUAUAAACUUUAGGUACUAUCAACACUUGUUUAACAUCAUGUAAUCUUAGAAAAACAAUGCCCUCUUAUAAAAAAAAGUCCCAAUAUACCAAGUUCUUAUAUUUGGGGCCUGAGGUCUAUGGUGAUAAAUUUUACAGUAAAAUUUAAGAAACUUGGCACUGUUAAAAUGGUGACGUUGGAUUGAAUUUAGAAAUAAGAUUCUGUUAGGAGUUUAUGACGCGUAGUGGGAUGCCAUCAUGAUCAAAAGGAUUUAUUGUGGGGCGGAACAAAUUUAGACAUACAGUACAUCAUGGCUCCAUUAAUGAUCAUCAAUCCAAGAAUUAAAAUUAGUGUUUUGCAAUUUAUUCUUUCUUGUUUCUAAUUAAUGAGGUGGAGAAGCAUUCUUUUCUAAAUAAAGUUUGAUUGGUGCUUUCAGAUUCCUCUGAUCAUGUAUGCAUAGAGGGCUGCAACAUUGCCACAGGAUAUGAUGCCAUUGCCUUGAAGAGUGGUUGGGAUCAGUAUGGUAUUGCCUAUGGCAGACCAUCUAAAAACAUACACAUUAGAAGGGUCCACCUUCAGUCAUCUUCAGGUUCUUCCAUUGCCUUUGGUAGUGAGAUGUCUGGUGGGAUAUCUAAUGUUCUUGUGGAGCAUGUACAACUGAACAACUCAUUUAUUGGCAUUCAAAUUAGAACUACCAAGGGAAGAGGGGGUUACAUUAAAGGAAUAGUUGUUUCGGAUGUUGAAAUGGAAAACAUAUCGACGGCAUUCAGUGCCUCUGGUCACUUCGGGUCACAUCCGGAUGAUGAGUAUGAUCCUAAUGCUCUUCCAAUUGUGCAGGACAUAACCUUACAGAAUGUGAGAGGCACCAACAUUAAAAUUGCUGGAAACUUUUCUGGGAUACAAGAAUCUCCCUUCACUUCAAUUUAUUUAUCCAACAUUACCUUUUCAAUCAAUUCAUCUUCUUCCACUUCUUGGAUCUGUUCAGAUGUUUCUGGCUUUUCAGAAUCUGUGAUCCCCCCACCCUGUUCUGAUCUCAGUACUCCAUAUUCAAUUUCUUCCUCAGCAGCCUCUCCCCUUGUGAAUUCAACUGGAAAGACUGCUGUUUUAUGAAAACCCUUUCCUUUCCAAGGGUACACCAAUAUAUAUUUCAACCCCCAUUCUACAUGAGGGAAAAUACCAAAACUUUCAACCAUUGCCUUCUCCAAGUCAAGCCAGAUUCUUUCAAAUAAAAACCACAUGUCUAGAUUACUUGUUUCUUCAUUCUCUUAGAUUUGCUUUCUUCCAUGUUGCACUCUGCAGAUUUAUUUGUACAGUUCCAUUUCUUCAUUCACGUGUAAGGAAAUUUUUGGUAGUGAUUUUACAGGUCUUUUGGUAUCGUUUGUGUUGCUUUUUUAAAUUAUUCCCACUCCCUCCCCCUCUCCUCAAGAGCUUGGUGCAUUGUAAUUUCACUGUAAAUUGUUCAUUUGUUGUGAAGGGCUGAAAGGAUAAAACUCUAGUUGAUGUGAAAAGCAAUUCAUGUGGAGCCAAGUGAUUGGAAUAAAGGGAUCUUGGUGACACUCUACUGCUUGUUUAGUAAAUUAAGAUGGGUGUUUUUUUUUCCAAUUCAAGUAUACAUUUUAUUUCUCUUCCUCUUCCUGUUAUGUUUAUUAAUGAAUCAUCCUUUCUGGUCAUUUCCUUCCGUAAUUUUUUAUCUACUGCUUGAGUGCUACUAUUCUUAUAAGCAUCAUGGAAUGUGAAUCAAACAAGGUUCCACAUGUCAACCUUCCACUGGCAUGCCCCUUAUUGAUGUCUGAAGUUGUUAAUGUUCUGGUGGCCUAUACAUCUGCAUCUGCCCUCAGUUGUCUGUUCAGGCUUUCUUCCUCAUAUUAAAAUAUCUUUAAUUCUUUAAACAUUAUUCUCAUGAUUGAUUUAUGUAUUACUUAUUGCUUGUUCUAAAUCUAGUAUUGGAAUCUGACGUAGGUUGCCACGAUGUAAUUGACCAGAUGUCUUAUUGUCCUUUUACAUUUUCUAUUGGUGCAACCCACUGAUAGAAUGAAAACAUUGCCUAAACAUGAUUCUUAACUCUGCUUUAGAUUGUUUUGGGACAUUUGCCAUAUGGGCCAUCAGUUUUGGAUAUAUUGGGUUCUUUUUCAUUCAGUGAUUACAUGGGCUUUUGUUCAUCAAAAUGACUGCAGAAUUAAAUUUGAAGAUUCGUUCUGGUAGGACAGAACUUCAGUUCAUUCUCUGUGAUUUGCCUGUUAUAUUUUAGCAAAUAUGAUUUUUUUGGCAAGAACAUAGUCAUUGUUUCUGUAAACAUCUGUCAGCCGUUGAAGCCUUAAAAAUCUUUACAACUUUACAAGAUUCCCCACGUCGCUAUUACAAGAAUGUUCUUCACCUGGUUUAUCAUCUAUCUACCCAUCACCAAAAGGUGAGAAUUUGGUAUCAGAUUCUUACAGCACUCCCACGUUGGGAAUCUCAUUCGUUCUCUCUUGCGUGCCCAUCAAAAAGUCUUCCUAACAUUAAAACAUUUCACCAACUCAACUAUAGGAUCUUUUACCAGAUGGGUUUUCUUUCCUCUCUUUUUUUUUCCUUUCUUUCUAUUUACUUUACAUUAGAUUACAAGCGUUCGGAUUCUCGUCGCUGAAUAUUGAUGUGAUGUUCCCAUUGCUACUGCCUGUGCCUGUGUUGUAAUAGUCUUCAUUGUAAUUGUAAAGAUCCAGUCUUGGGCUAUAAUGGGUGGUUGGCUGCUGUGGUAUGGAUUCGGAGGCGUAUACUGGGGGCCUGCUGUAUGUGAGUGGUCGGACAUACUCGGUAAUGUAUGGCGAUGGCUUGUAUGUGUUGUAGCUGUGUAUCACGGUUGCCGGCUGCAUUGAUGUCGCUCCUGGAAUGUUGUGGUGGUAGUUGUGGCUAGAGGCGUAUCUGUAUUCGGGUUGGUGGUGGUGGACUACAUGGCUUUGGCUAUAAUUUGGUGGCUGAUGGUAUUGAACCGUCUGGCUGUGAUCAGGGGGCUGGUGGGAGUAAACGGUGUGACCAUGAUCAGGUGGCUGGUUAACCAUGUGGACGUGCUCGGAUGGUUGAUGGCCUACGUGGAAGGAUUCUGGUGGUUGAUGGUGGACCACAUGGCUAUACUCAGGUUGGUGAGAGAUGACAUGGCCAGGUUCUGGUCCUGGUCCUGAUCCUUGAUGGUGGACAACAUGGCCAGAUUCUGACGGAUAUUGGUGGACGAUAUGGCCAUUAUCGGACGGCUGGUGGCUGACAUGGCCUUGUCCAGCAUCAUAUCCCCCAGGGUGUGGUGGUUGUUGGCCGUUGGUUGGAUCAAAACUACCAUCUUGAACGACCAUUUGGCCAGGUGGGGGCGCGCCACCCGUGGCCAUAUCAGUAGGACCACCACCCAUGACCAUGUCAGGAGGAGAAGGACCUGAUGAAAAAUUGGGUGGUUCACUGCCGGCCGGAGCCAUAGAAUCCGGCGGUUGGCCAGUGGGAGCAGCUUGAGGAUCCGUCUGUUCAGAAUCAGAACAAAUGGUGGCAAUCUUCCUUGUUUUCUUAAUGGCUUUCAUGAUUCUCUCAGGCUCAGCCCAUCCAAUGAUAGUGAGUUUCUGCUGGGGAAAGUCUAUGUAGAUAUCAUAAAUGCCUGCAAAAGAACAAGAAAACUCAAGAAGAAGAAGGAAAGAAAGAAAGAAAAAAUGAAAGAAAGAAAGAAAUGUAUAAAAAAGAAAGAUUAUUUAUUUUCCUUUGGCUCACCAUUAAUUCCAUACAAUGCUUUCUUGAUCUUCUGGACACAGCCAUUACAGUCCAUCCGGACCUUUAUCUCAGUAAUCUUCGGUUUCUGCAGAAAAGGAAAGUAAGUGGUAAGAACCCAAUUACAAUGGAGAUGAAAAGAAACAAGGAGAAGAAGAAGAAUACCUCAAGUUCUGGAAUCAUGAGGAGAUGAGGGGAAAGUAAAGGGAAAGAAUAUGGAGGAAAGAAGAGAGAGAGAUUAUGUGAAAGAUGAAGAAGAUCAUAAACGAAGAAUCAGAAUUGAGAGAGGCAAAAUAAAAAGAAGAGGAGAUGGGAAUAUUUAAAAGGGUGUGGGACAUGCAACGAAUCUAAUUGGAACUUGGACGACACAAAAUAAAAAAUAAAAUAAAAAUAAAACAAAUGAAUUCUUAAUACAAAAAAAAUCCAAAACCGACCAUUUUGGGAAGAAUAUAAAGCAGAGGAAAGAAAAGAAGGGGGACGUCUUGGUUUUGGGUUUUGCAUGCAUGGACUCAAACCAAUCCCUACGCCACUGUUAAUGAAACCCUCAAUGAUUCCACGUUGAAAAUAUGAGAAAACAUCACAUUUCUCUAAUACAUACUACUUAUUUCUAAACGCUACAAAUUUUGUUCAAAGGGAAAUUUUGUUAUAAGCCCAUCUCUUUGGUACUAAAAUAAAAAUUUAUAACUAUUUUGCAUGGAAAUAGUUCAAGUCUUCUUUAAUUUUGCAAUUAAUUACAAAUUACGUAAUUUCAACAUUUACACUAAUAUGCAUAUAAAUAUUGUUAUUGUUUUACUUCAAAUAAAUAAUGAUUAACAAUUGUCAAAUAAUUGGAGUUUAAUUAAUCCACAAUCAAAUAUUCGUUAACAUUGUAACAAUUUCUACCAAAAUACACACUUUCAUAAAAUUGGGAUCUCAAUAUCUUUAUCAAUAUUAAUAUUUGAAAUUUUAGGAUUUUUUUUAAAAAUAAUGUAAAAUUUGAAACAUAUUUCAAAAAUAGGGUAGUUGCAAAACUAUUUUCAAAAAUAGGUGUUUUGAGGUGAAGUCGUGGACGGGGUACACGACUUCCAUGCAGUGGCCCCCACAUACUCUAUUUUUUCCUUAUUUUUAUAUUUAUACUACACUGGGCCCCACAUUUUUUAAUUUUCUCAUUAUUUAUAUACGUGGGUCCCACACACUUCACUUUUUCUCAUUAUUUAUAUAUACAUACUCACAUAUAAUAUAAUAUAUAUAUUAUACAUUUAAAUUCUAAAAAUAUCUUUCUUUAUUAAAUUAAUUUAUUUUUUUUAUUUUUUUCUUUAUAUAUAUUUAAAUAUCACAAUCUUCAAUCUUCAAUUUUUCUUAUUAAAUUCAUUUUUCUAAUUUAAUUUAAUUCUUUCUUAAUAACAAAAUUAUACAUAUAUUUUUUUUCCAAUUUUCAAUUUUUUUAAAAAAAUCUCAUAUAUUAACAAAACAUGUUAUUAAAAAUAUAUUAAACAAAUUAAAAGAGUAAUAAUAAUAAUUGAGAUAAGUUAAAAUUACUAAAAAAAAUAAUAAUAAUAACACUUGAAGCCACACACAUUGAUAAUUGAAUAAAAAGAAAUUCAUGUUUAUGGUAAAAGGAAAAAAACAAGAAUUGGUUCGAUUACAAAUUAAAUUUAAAAACUUAAUGGAUAAUUUUGAAUUGCAAAUUUAUUGUUAUUAUUAUUUUUAGAGUACGUUUCAACUUCUUUCAAUUACUAUUAUUAUUUUUAUUUGUUUAAUGUAUUUUUUAAUAACAUAUUUGGUUAAUAUAUGUGUUUUUUUAAACAGAAAAUUAGAAAAAGAUAUAUAUAAUUUUGGUUAAGAAAUAAUUAAAUUAAAUUAGAAAAGAUGAAUUAAUAAGAAAAUUUGAAGAUUGAGAUAUUAAAUAAAUAAAUAAUAUAUAUAUAUAUAUAUAUAUAAAUUAUUAUUAUUAUUACUCUUUUAAUUUGUUUAAUAUAUUUUUAAUAACAUGUUUUGUUAAUAUAUGAGAUUUUUUUAAAAAAAAUUGAAAAUUGGAAAAAAAAUAUAUGUAUAAUUUUGAUUAAGAAAGAAUUAAAUUAAAUUAGAAAAAUGAAUUUAAUAAGAAAAAUUGAAGAUUGAAGAUUGUGAUAUUUAAAUAUAUAUAAAGAAAAAAAUAAAAAAAUAAAUUAAUUUAAUAAAGAAAGAUAUUUUUAGAAUUUGAAUGUAUAAUAUAUAUAUUAUAUUAUAUGUGAGUAUGUAUAUAUAAAUAAUGAGAAAAAAUGAAGUGUGUGGGACCCACGUAUAUAAAUAAUGAGAAAAUUAAAAAAUGUGGGGCCCAGUGUAGUAUAAAUAUAAAAAUAAGGAAAAAAUAGAGUAUGUGGGGGCCACUGCAUGGAAGUCGUGUACCCCGUCCACGACUUCACCUCAAAACACCUAUUUUUGAAAAUAGUUUUGCAACUACCCUAUUUUUGAAAUAUGUUUCAAAUUUUACAUUAUUUUUAAAAAAAAUCCGAAAUUUUAUAAACUAUUAAUCCCUAUUGUGAUUUGACCAUGGUAUGAAAACUCUAUAUAUUUUUUCUUUUUGGUAAUAAAAUAACAAUGGUCAGCUAAGUUAAUUCAAAGGUGCUUUUUACAUAUAAAUAUUGGUUUGAUCUGCUUUAUAUUAUUCUUCCUAAUCCAUGGGUUUGGCUUACAAGGUUUCAAUCUUAGCCAUCCAUCUCUAGGAGUUUCAUGCCACUCUGGACUUGGAAUCUACACAUACUGUCUCUAUAUAUUUAUUUAUAUGUAUUAAUAUGCUUUUGAGUCUUUAUUUUCUUUUACUAAUUAAAAAUACGAGAACAAAGUUGCUAAUAUAAACAAUAACCUCCAAAUUCUUAAUAGAUACAUUAUAAUGUUAAAGAAUUUACAAAUAUAACAAUUCCGUUUAUUACUAAUACUUCAUGUUUUUUUCGUGAAUAGAUUAUUUGACUAUAUUUGUAAUUUUUUUAAAAAUGUUAUAUAUUUAAUGAUUAAUUUUAGAAGUUUUACAAAAAUGACGAUUUAAUGGGUUCUAGCACAAACCCACGCUAGUGUGUGCAUCGUUUGCAUACACAAGCUAUCACGCUUGUCAUGUUUAGCUCCACAAGUUUAAAGUCAUUCAUUUUUACUUAGUCAUCAAAGCAUAUGGAAUGUUUUCAACGAUGAGAUAAGAACAACUUCUCUUUUAGGGAUUAACCAAAAAGGUAAUUUAUUCGAGACUAUCUUUCGUCGAGUCAUAUGGGGUUGACUUGAAGAUGUCGAUAUCUAUGUUAAGUUGAAAUUUGUGUAGGUAUAUAUAAACUUUCUAAGCUGUAUAUAUUAGACUAUGCAUUUUAAAAACCUUUCAUUUGAAUUCACCAACUUUCAAUUCCAUAUUUAAUAUGACUUUACCUUUAAAUUGUUUAAUGGUUCUUAGGUAAUAUAUUCAACAAAGCUAUGUGGAAGUAUAUAUUAAAUUGACGACAACUAAUAUAAGAACUUAGUAUAUGUAUAUUGAAACAAAUAAAAUGAAAUGUUUAGGAGUGUUAAAACUUUUUAAAAUUAAAGUAUUAAGAUUAGAUAGACACAAGACAAAGGCUUAUUAAAAAAACUUCAAAGUAUAAAGAUUUAUAUGUUCUAAACUUUCAAGUAUUUUUUUCUUCUUCAAUUUUUAUUUAGCCAAACAAUUAUAUAAGCGUAUGAUCAUAGUAGUUUCGAGAAUAUUAUGUUGCAUAUGGGUCUAAUUUUUAAGAAAAAAAGUCAAAAAUAAUAUAACCUUUAAGUUUUACUUGUGUCGGCCGAAAAAAAAAAGCUUGUUGAUUUUAAUCAAUAAGAUAAAUUACAAAUCUAGUUUCUACAUUUUGAAACUACUACUCGAUUAGGCUUUUAAACUUUAAAAGAUGUAGUAGGUCGUUAGAUCCAAUUAUUUGUAUAACAUUUAGUUGAUGUUUAAAAUUAACUAGUAGAUAUUUGAAUGCCAUUUAAUUUUCUUUUUCUUUAAUACGAAUGACAUUUAAUUUUAUAUCAAAUAGUUUGUAAUCCAAACUAAAACCUAGAGUUAAAAGUGUUAAAAGUAUAAAGAUCAAAAGUUAAAAUAGGUUUUUUUUUUUUUUUUACUUAAAUAUAAGUAAUUGAUAAAAAGAAAUUAAACUCAUCUUCUUCAUCAUCAAAGGGGUUGAGACCUAAAUGCAUGCCCAAAUUCAACUCAUACUAAAUUUAAAAUCAGCUGAAUGAACAAUUGAAGUCCAACCUAAUCCAUCCAUCUAAAUAAUUGAAUAUGGACCAUCAUUCAUAAGAGUAGGCUUGCUCAUGGAUUAUCUCGUUUGAAUUAUAUUUAAUGGGAUAUGAACCACUUCUUGUAAGAGUAGACUUGCCCAUGAACGAUUUCGUUUGAUCUAUAUUUGAUUAACUCGUCAUUUGAUAGACAUAUCAUAACAUAACCACAGUGUACAUGGUAUGUCUCUAUGUCUCUAUGUGUGUAUAUAGAUAUAUUUAUAUAUAAAGAUAUAUCUUUAAACUUACAUAUACCAUUCUUUAAUUAAUAAAGAAAUUUAAAAAAUAUAUUAAAAAAAAGGAAAGCGUUUAUGAAAGAUAAAACAAAAGGAAACUAAAUAAUAGUGAUAAUUUAUAGUAAAAAGUACCAAAUUUAAAUUUAAAUUAAACAAGAAAGAUAUUUCUAAAUUCUUUUAAUUAAAUAUAGUGAAUUUGGACUAGAGAAGAUAUGAACAAGAUAAAGUGAACUUAAUUUUAAAAGAGACCAAUUAAUUAUUGAUCAAAUAAAAAUUUGAUCCUCAACUGGUUUGGAUAAGAUUAAACUCAUAUUCUAAUUUUAAAAAGAUUAAUAUAAAAUGAAAGCCAAUUUUACUUUGUUAUAAUUUCAUAUGAGGUAACUUAAACUUAUGACUUUCUUGUUAUUAUAAAAUUUUUAUUUUGAAUUUAAGACAAAAAUUUUUUUCUUUGUUUUGUAAGUCAUCUCUUCAUGAUAUUAUACGUGUUUUUCCCGAUCCAAAUUAAUUUGAUAUCGACAAAUGUUGAAGGGGCUAAUCGAAUGAACUCGAACUAACCUAAGCUCCAUGAAAUGUGUGGGUCAAGGAUUGGGUCAUAAACUUGAUUAUUGAAGAGAGUGGGGUUGUCGUAGGCCCAAAAGUCUCUUGGGCCCAAGUUGUAUUUUUCUUCAGGAUACUUGAGAAAUGUUGCAUAUAACCAAAAUGGUUUUCAUUUUUAGCAAAUAAAUAGCAAAGAAUGAGGAUGGAGAGUGUUUAAUCAAAAUUGAGGAGAAGUGCUUUUGGAGAGGCAAAAGCAUGAAAUCAAUUUAAUUACGGCUCAUAUUGGAUAAAAACAUACGUGAAGAAACAUAAAAAUGGUUUUGUAAAAAUGAACUCUCCUAAUGGUAACAACAAAUUUAGAUCAGUAAUGGAAAAGUAAAAAAAAAAAAAUGAAGAUCGUUCACAGUUUUGAUGUCCAAAUAGAGAAGUUCCACAUUUCAUGCUAAUGAACAAAGCAGAUAAAAAAGAAGAAAAAAUAUCCAAAAUAUAAAUUUAUUUUGGUUUAAAAGAAAUUGAAUACAGAAAAUCAGUUGUUAGCAAGAAUUUAGAACAUUUAUAAAAUACAGAAACGAGAUUAGGUUAUAGAUAUAGUCAUAACUUAAAAAUAAACAAAACUCAACAAAUGUGUAUUGAACUAUUAAGUCGGAAAGGAAUGAUGUUUGGAUCUGUUGUAAUUAAAAAGAAAAAAAGGAAAAAAGAAAUGUGGUGUUGGGAAUGGGAAUGGGAAGUGGGCCAGAAUUGGUAGGCACAAUAAAAAGGGCAUACGGAGUCGGAAGAUUGGUCUCUGGGAAUAUCCAGAUUCGGAGAAGGAUACAUGGGUCAUAAAGACAAAAGAGGGAGGGGUAAAUAAGUAAAUUUAGAGUUAAAUACCCCACAACGCAUUACGCAAAGGAUAGAGAGAUAGGUGAAGAAGAAGAGGAACGGAAAGGGCAUUGGGAAAUUAUGAUUUCUGGAGUGUUCUGGUCCUAAAAUCUCCCCCCCCCUCUCUCUCUCCAAUCCAAUCCCCUCUUUCCCCCACCCCUUUCUAUAAUUUUCCAAAAAUUAGGUUUAAUUUUCUAAUAAACCUCUCUGUUAGUUAUCUAUCUUCUUCCCCCAAUAGAUUUUACAAAACCCUAGUUUCUCCUUUCUUCUUACUUUUUCUCCUCUUCAUCACUGUAUACAUAUAAAAACACACACACCUGAAUACCUACCUACCCUGCCUUCCUCUUCUUUUCUUUCUUGCAAUGUCAGUCUCCGGUGGUGUUUCGAUUGCCCGAAUCCGUGGCGAGAAUCGCUUCUACCAUCCACCUGCGAUGCGACGUCGUUUGCAGCAGCAGCAGCAGCAGCAGCAGCAACAGCAACAACAACAACAACAGCAGCAGCAACAGCAGCCGAAGCAAAGUGCUUUAGAUUCUAAGGACGUUGUGGCGGCUGCUACUUCCACGAUCGACGACUUGGAAAAGAGGAGUGAGUUUGAUGAGUGUCGUUCUUGGUCCACUCGCUCUGAUUGUUCUGUUUCCGAUCGGGGACUCGCUGAUUCUACUAAUUUGGAUCGCUUUUUGGAGCAUACUACUCCUCUUGUUCCGGCUCAUUGUAUUCCUAAGGUAAUCAUUGCUUGCUCAAGCUACUGUUUUUUGUCCUCUCCUUUUUUUCACUUGAUGUUUCCUCGGACUUUUUAAUUUGCUUUCUGGACUUGAAACUAGCUUAUUGUCAUGGUCAGCCUUCGUGUAUGAACUUCUGAGAUGUGUGUAUUGAACAAUCAAUUACGGUUAUUGCAAUUUUGUUAGGUUCAAGAACUUGUGGUUAAGUUGAUUAGCCUUGAGGCAGAUGUGAAAUCUUCCUUUCACAAUGUCCCCCCUUCCACUUCCCAUCUCUGCUUCUACAUUGUCUCUGUAAUCAAUAUAACUGUAGUGCUAGUUUUUUUUCUAUCUAUUUAAUUUCUUUUGUUUCACUAGGAUAUCGGUUAAGAAGUUGAGUACAGAUCUUAGCUAAGUUGCUUUUAAUUUGAGAACCUGACUUUGCUUCAAUUUCUCAAAUCAUUAAAUUGCUUCUUUAAUUGGCUUUUUGGGGAUGUCGACAGACGAGUCUGAGGGGGUGGAGAAAUCGUGAAGUUUCAGAGGCAUCUCCUUAUUUUGUGCUCGGUGAUCUCUGGGAAUCUUUCAAGGAAUGGAGUGCAUAUGGAGCCGGUAUCCCUCUAUUGUUAAAUGGCAGUGACUCUGUAGUACAGUAUUAUGUUCCAUAUCUGUCCGGCAUUCAACUCUAUGUUGAUCCUUCAAAGUCCUCUGCACUAAGGUAAGGAUUAUUCAUAGAUCACCAUAUUCUUAUAUCUAUUCAUUUCUUGCAAUUUUUUUUUGUUUAUUUCCCUUUUAUCCUCAUUGCCUAUAUGAAUUGAAUUUGAUAAGGUAUGUAUUUAUGCUGUUUGGUAAGAAGUAAUAAGAUUGUCCCUGAUUCUAUUUUGUUUUUGUUUUUUUGAGAUCUCAGGCUUUGUUUAGAUUAUAUUUAUAGGAUAGGAAUGCUAGCUUUAUUUUUUCUAAUUUUGAUUGGUGAUUCGUUUACAAUACUAUGAAUGCUAGCUUCAUCUAUUGUUCAGGAUUGUGCAAUAUGUAUAUCUUGUUAAUAUUUAGGUUGCAAGGGUUUUCUUGAUCUUGGAUCUUCAAUUGUGUAUAAAGGAGGAAAGGGGAGUACCUUCUUAUUUUGGGCAAUGGUUUACCUUACAUUUCACUCUUUUUAUGGGUUAUAACUUGCUGAACAUAUCCACUCUGGGUUUAACAAUAUAUGUAUAAAAUUGCUUGGCUGCUGGCUGUUGGCUGUUUUCCCCCCUUCACAUAUUCUUUUCUUCUUUGCACAAGAAAUGUGAUUAACAUCAUUUGUUAUUGAAGAGGCAGCGGUUAUAUGCCCUAAGAUCUGGUCAUCAUUUAUUUUAAUACUAGCCUAUUUUUUCAGUGGUUAAUUCUUUCACCAUCUCAUUGAUCUUUCCUUUUGAUCUUCAUCCAUUAAGCUUUUUUGCCUUUGGUCAUUUAUAUUUUAUUUUUACAAAAAAGCCUUAUUCUAAGUUGUUUUUGUGUUAUAGAUUUAUUAAGAUGGAAAUGAUGUUGUUAUUGUUUUCUGAGCUGGUAAAUGUGGCAAGUAUUAUCUAAAGUUAGGUACAUGAGAGUGGUAAGUGGAUUUCUAAUUUGAUAUUGUAUUUUGUAGUAGAAGGCGUGGUGCAGAUAGUGAUGCUGAGUCAUCAAAGGAAACAAGCAGUGAUGGAAGCAGUAAUUCUGGGGCGGAAAAGAAAACGAAAACUGCCCUUCAGAAUGAGUGGAUACAGGACUUUAAUGUUCCGGGGUCACAAAGAGCUCUUCAGAUGAAUGUACCUUCUUCCGAGUCAUCGAGUGAUGAAAGUGACUCUUGCUACCGUCAUGGUCAGCUUGUUUUUGAAUACUUGGAACGUGAUCCACCAUUUUGUCGUGAACCAUUAACUGAUAAGGUAGGUUUGUUUUUAUUUGGCUUUAGUACAUGAGGGUAUUGCAUUUCAGCCUUCUUGAUAACGAACAUGAACUUGCAUUGAACAGAUCACUGUCCUUGCAUCACGUUUUUCUGAAUUAAAGACAUACAGGAGCUGUGACUUAUCUCCUUCCAGUUGGAUAUCUGUGGCAUGGUUAGUUAUGUCUCCUCCUGAUUACGUUUUAUCAUGAUCCAAUUCUUUUACUCUGACAUAUUUGACUGUUCUCUAAAGGUAUCCAAUUUAUCGGAUUCCGACGGGGCCGACUCUACAAAGUCUAGAUGCUUGUUUCUUGACCUUCCAUAAUCUGUCAACAGCAUUUCAAGGUAUUUCCUCCUUGUUUUCUUAUGUAUAUAGAUACAUAUUUCAUCAAUCAAUUCUUAGUGCUAGUGUAUGCUCUGCGUGCUGCAUUGCUUUUCAGUCAAAUUGAUCUCAAUGCAUAUAUUCAACUACUUAGGUGUUAUUAGAUUGUUUAUCACCUGUUUUAGCUAGCUGUGUUAUGGAAAAGCAUCGGCUGUGGCUGUGAUUCUGUUUUUGUCGGAAUAUUUUUCAAGAAGAAAAAAAGGAGUAAAAAGUUGAGUUUUUGGUAAUAUAUCUGUAGAAAACGUUUUAGGACAAUAUUUAUUUCUCAGCUAAAGCUGCAAUAUGCCUAUAGUGUAAUCAACUCAUAAUCUAUCAUUGGCUUGUGCUAUUAAGUUUUUCAUAAAUUGCAUUUUUAAGAAAGACAUUCAAUGGGCAUCGUGGCUUGUGUUUGGAGCAGGCAUCAGCACGGAUGGUUUACAAUUCCAUUGGCCAAGAGUUAGAGAGGUGUACACUGCAGAUUGCCCUCUCAAACUGCAGUUGCCAAUAUUUGGACUUGCUUCCUAUAAGUUCAAAAUUCCUUUUUGGAAUUCGACUGGUGCAGAGGAAUGUUCGAAGGCUCACUCUUUGUGGCAAGAUGCCGACAGCUGGCUUAGGUUAUUAAACGUAAACCAUCCUGAUUACAGAUUUUUCGCAUCUCAUAACUCAUUCUGGAGAUGAUAACGAAGGAUAUAUCAUGCAUGAUGCAUAAAUGUGGGAUUACAGUUUUAAGUCCAAAGAAACUCGCUUCUCCUGAAUGUCGUGAAAGUUUUAAUAGCAUCUUUGGCUUCCUUUUUUUCUCAAAAGAAAUUCUACUUUGACCACCAUAUAAAGGGUGGUACUGUACAGGGAGAAUGAUGUUGAUAGUAACAUUACGGUUGAAACGGGGGGAUUGGCUUUGGGAUAGAGUUGUUAUUCUUGGAGCGUCAAUCCCCAUAGUAUUCUAUUAGUCUAUUCUUCCAUGUGUUGAGAAAUGAGUGAUGAUGGGAAUAUGGUGGUUGUGGACAGCGGAGAAACUUCUGUCAAAUACCAACACCCCCAUUCUUUUUUUUUUCUUCUUACUUUAAAUUGUGGGUUAGAUUUGUAACUUUCACUGGCACAACGAUAAUGAUGAAAAGUAUAUCUAGUAUUUUAACUGCAAUCUUUGCUGUAUUUAUUAACAGUUAAUUAGAUAAAGGCAAUUGCUGCUCUGUUUGUAAGUGUAUGUUCUUGAAUACAUCUCUUAAUCUGCUUCCCUAGGCUUGAUGAACAUUCUCUAUGGUCAGGAUGUUCUGUAUGGUGUUGGUCAUAUUAGGUCAUCUCCUAAUUAAUAGUUGAUAUUUUGAACUUCUCUAUGAUCAGGAUAGUUGAAAUGACUCAACAAAUAGAUGGCAAUCCUUAUCAAUAUCAUGGUGUCAUAAGUAAGAGUUUGGAACUUGUAUGUUGCGAUGACCCACAAGUUUGAGAUUGAUAUUUCAAGUUGUGAAGUUUGAGAUUGAUAUUUCAAGUUGUGUUGGGUGGAAGCCUUCACUUUCGUUUCGUAUAGGUUGGAUGUGAGCCAUGUUGGGUUGGCUGUACCAUGUGGAUAGUUCUGAUUUUAAUACUAAUCCAUGAGUUGGAUGGAUGUUUGGUUGCAUUUGGUUAUGUGUGUACUUGCUGACCUUAUAAGAGUGUCCCAUUGUCAGAGUUCGAAAAUUUAGGCAUCCAAAUGCUAACCCUAAGUUACAUUUUUCAGUUUCACAAAGUUUCUAUGUUAUUCGAUUUCAUUUGUCCAACUAAAGUGCUUUAGGGAAAGUACUUAAUUACAUAGCUUGUCUUAGUUAAAAACGUUAAAAACUGUUUGAGCUUCGUUGAUUAACUUAGGGCCAGCUAAGUUUUGUGUCUAUGCCCUUGAGUGAUAGGCAAUGGAUAUUGUUUUAUCUUCGUAUAAGUCAUUUAUUUGGUUAAAUAAACUUGACUUUUGGCUUUGGGUAGUUUGAAGUUUGUAUCUGUUUGGCUUGUUAAAAAAAUAGUCUUAUAUUCUUGUUUGGAGUUGGAAUUAGGACGAUUUUUAUGGGUUUACAUAAAAAAAUUCGGAUCGAGAAAUUUAACUAAAGGUUAAUUAAUGUCAUGGCUUUGAAAAAGAACCACUUCCUCUUCCUGGCUCUUAUGAUUAUUUAAUUAAUUAUUAAAACGAGGGUAAUGCAUGCUUGCACCUAAUUUGAUCUAAUUGAAUGAUGAUUUAUUAGUUAGUCAGAUUUAAAUAGUUUCUUUGUUUCGUUACAGUAUGAUGACUUAAGUUGAAUCUCAGGACGAUGUUAAAACUGCAUUUCGUAGGCCUGAAAGUUUGUUGGAUUGCAAUUACAUUACCGUUUUGAUUUUCAGAAAUCUAAGGUUUUCUUGGGCAAGUGAUUGAGUUAUUAUGACUCUUGCAUUCUCAAGUUGUGGUCUUACUAAUCAACUGAUCAAAAGAAAUUAUUUCACAAUAAAUUAGUUCCAUAAUCCAUUACCCAUUUCAAUGCCCAACUACCGUUUAACUAAAGUGACAACCAUAUUUUUCAUUUUGUAUCCUUACAUAUUAUUUAUUUUAAUUUGAACAAUUCUUGGUGAAUUAUGAAGCACUAACAGUAAUAGCUACUUAUGCACUGUCUUAAAACGUGCAUAAUUUAACCAUUAUGAAUAAAGAAUGGACUAUAAAUUUUGAGACCGGAGAUUCAAUCUUCCACAAUAUAAAAGAAUAUACACUAUCAACUAACCAAGACAUUAAAUAUUCAAACAACCACAAGCUCCAAACUUGACAAAAUAUUUAGUUACAACAUAGCAUAAACCCUAACACUGUAAUUCAAAUCACUUGUUCCAAAUUUAUUUAUAUGUGAAAAAAAAAAUCAUUUUGCUCAACGGUAAUUUAAGAGAACAAUCACUAGCAAAUGAAACAAAAUUCUUUGAGAAAUAUUUUAGAUAAUAAAAACUUCAAUUGUUAAUGCGUAGCUCUCGUAGCUCAGUUGGUUAGAGCACCCGUUUAGUAAGCGGGAGGUCUUGAGUUCGACUCUCAACGAGAGCAUAAUAUAUUGCUAUUUUGUUUUAUACAUUUUCAUAAUUCCAUUUUGUGAGGCCCAGCCCACUAUACACACCAUAAACGGGCCGAACCUAAGCCCAAUGCUUAUUUCCAUUUUUUCGGCUAAACAUAGUCAACGAACUAAAACGACAAGUCGACAAAUUCAUUUAAUCAGUAUAUUAUUUUUUCCUUUUUUUUUCUCUCCUUUUGAAAUGAAAACAUUUUAUUUGUCUUUUUUGAGUACAAGAAAUGACAGCUCAGCAUCAUGAAAUGAUGAAAAUAUGCAAACAUUAAUAAUUGAGUUGAAGGGUAAUGCAUAGACAUUAUCACACACAUUACAACUAAGAAACCAUUGGCUACCAUUUUUAUGAUUCAUAAUCAAAGAUUCCCCAAAUCCCUUCUUGAUCUUUGCAAAACCAAGAAAGAGUGCAUGCAUGGCAUGGCAUAACAUGGUCACCCAAUCCACUCCAAUCAUACCUUUCUUCACAUUUUCCUCCCUUUUUUGCAUGGGUGUAUCAUAUAAUUAUCCCGACCUUCGAGAUAAUAUAGUGUACUAUUUUUUUCUUUCAUCCCUUCUUAACUACUACACAAUCGUGUAGUAGAGAUGAAUUUUUUAAUUCUGUCUAGAUUAAAGAAAUAGAAUAUGAUUUCUUUUGUUGUGAUGUAGAGAACUUCUUGGGUGAUCUUUUCCAAAAAAAAAAAAAAAAAAAAAAAAAACCAUAAGAACAUAUAUGUAAAGUCAACUCUUACCCCAUAACGAAAGACUUGACAACUCAUUUUUAAAAAUUGUGGACAAUCUCACUCUUCUUUUGUUAACUAGGACAAAGUCGAAAUCUCAAAUCCGUAUAUGUAUUUGGUGUGUAAAUCUAAACAAACUUAUUUUUUCUUAUCGUCCGAUUGUUAGAGAACUCGUACUAAAUUAGGUUUUGAAACUUUCCUUUCUCGACGAAUGAGAUAUUGUCGAAAACUUUGUGCAUAAGUAAAAUGGGAGCUGUUCUAGGAUAAAAAGGGGGGCAAAAGCUAGAAAGAAGCAAUGAGAAGGACCAUAAGCCAUAAAUGGUGACAAUGAGAGAGGAAAAAUAAAUAAGGAGAAAAAAAAGAGAUAAGGAAGAAGAAGAGGGGAGAAGAUAAUAUGUGUUAAUAUGUUUUAUACAUUGAAGUAGUUAUGGUGAUUGUUGAGGAAUGGCAAAAGUUGUUGGCAAGAGAGGAGGCAGAGGACUAAACCCUUUUCAAGAAAAAAACAAGUUCUAAGGUCUAAAGAAAUGUGCAAAUUUAGAUUAUGGAAAUAAUAAUAACAAUAACAAUAAAUAAACAAAUAAUGUUUAAUAUAAUGAAUUAUAUAAGUAUAGGGUUGCAAGGCUGGCAAAUGGGUUUUUAUUUUAUUAUAUUUGGAGUUUAGUGAAUAGAAAAAUUUGAAAAAUGUGGAUUUUGAUGGCUAAAGGCCAAUGGACCCUCUCAUUGCCUUUUUCUUACUUCACACGUAGUUUCCAAUUUCGCUUUCAAUUAUUCUUCAAAAAAGAAAAUUUGAAAAUUUGAAAAAACAAAAAGCAAAAUGAAAUUAUACUUUCUUUUUCUUUUUCUCUUUCUCUUGUAUUGAUAAUAAUCUCACGUGCUCAAUUAUGCAUUUCCCUUUUCCUUUUCUUCAACCUAUUUGCAUUCCACAACUCCUUAAACCCUAACCUGCUUGCCUUCUAACCAUUAUUUGUGUUUUCUAUUAUAUCUCUGCACAGUUCGUAUCUUUUCACAACUAAAUCACAAAUUUUAGCCAACAAAUUUAGGUAAAUUUAUUCACUUCACUUUAAUUUCUAGUUUGGAAAAUGAUAGUAGCAUGUUUUUUAUGAUAGAAUAUAUUACUUUUUCUAUGCAAGUGAUACCCUCAAUACUCUACAAUAUCAACAAACUCUUUACUUUCUAGACUAAAUCCAAGUUCAACAAAUUUUUAAAUACAAGAAAAGUUUUAUGGGAAAAAAAGUGUUGAGGUAAUAUAGAAAUUAAUUAAGGAUGUAAUCUGAGAGGAACAAUCGCAUAGGGUUUUAAAUAAAGUUGGCACUUGAGCACUAUACAUUAGAAAGAAAAGAAAUGUUUUAAGAAAGCUUAUGUAUGUAAUAGAGCCUAGUUUUAGGUGUGAGAUAAUAAGAUCCUAAUAGUGUUGUUGGUCAUUUGACCAUAACUAAUUUAGACCAAAAUUUUGUUGACCCCAUGAUAGUUAUGGCCUAAGUCCUAACAUGGGUGGGAUCAUAUUUACCUACCCCAUGUGAGUUCAAAGAUAGCCUAGUUCAAGAUUCAAGUAAGACCACCCUAUUCGAUGGCCUAAGCGAUUAAUUUAGUCGGUUUCUAGUACAUACCUUUAAAGCUAGAAACACUAGAAUUCACAUCUAAAUAUUAAUAUUAACCGAUUUUAUGACUAUAGAUUCAAAAUAGAAGUACUAGAUUUUGUUAUCACACUCUAUACACUCUAUCCUAUGUGCUACAACACCAACUUAAUUACACAAAAAUUGUAGCAAUUACGUCACAACCUAUUUAUGAUCACACAUAAUAUAAUGUACACACUAUAUUAUUGAAACAUACAUAAACUCAUUUCAAAUUGACUCAAACGUAUGAUGAAAUAUUAUUUUACAAAUAUCACAUGUUCUUAAAUGCCAAAACUAUAGGUACAGGGGUUUGCAAAAAAUGACAAGAAAAAUUAUGAUAAUAAAACUCAUGUCGCUACAUAUUUUAAAUUACAAAAGUAGUAAAUUUAAAAGCACAUAGUCAUUUGAUAAUUAUUUGAUAUAUCUAAUUACUUCUCGUAUUUCUAAUAUGCAAAAAAAAAAAAAAAAAAAAAAAUACCAUGAAGUAUUUCUUUUUUCAAAAAUAAUUUAUCAUUAGAUAUAAUUUUCUACACAUAUAUAUAAAUUCUUGAAAGAAAGAGUGCUUAUUUCUUCAACAUUGUUGCUCCAAUACAAUAUUUAUUUUUCCUACCCUAACAAUACAUUUUAUGAUGCACAUGACUAAUUUACUCCAACCAACUCUAUAAACACAAUAAAUAUUAAGUCGUUUCAUUUUCAAACCAAUAAUGAAAAUGGUGCAUUCAGGUGACAUAAUAGCAUACAAUUUAAUUUCUAACACUUGGAUACAUAUAAUUACAUGAUAAAGAAGGCAAGAAUUCAAUAAGUUUCAUUAACAUAUCAACAUUUUCCUUCAUGUUUUACAUCAUAUUAUGAAUUCAACGUUAACCUCAAGAGUCAAUAUUAUAGAGAUUCUAUUAUUUUAUAAAAAAUUGACAAAACAUAAUAAAUAAUUAUCAAUAAAAUAAUGUUAAAUAUGAUAUAAAUAACAAAAACAUUUAAACCACUUCUUUUAUGAAUAUUUUUAUAAGCGUGAGACAUCAAUAUAAUUUUUUUUAUCAACAUUUUAAAUUUUGUAUGAGACAAAUCAAAAUUUAAAAUAUGAAUGUUGAUAAAAAAUGUUAAAAUUUCAAUAGAAAAGAUAAAAUUAAAUCAUCUAAGUUUGUGUAUAUAAGUAGCUCUUAUUUUGUUUGUGUUUGAAUGAUUUUUGAAGAAGUAUAAGGAAAAUAUAAUUUUUUGCUAAAAUGUAGAAAUAUGGAUAUGGAAAGAAAAAGGAAACCCAAAAAUUGAAAACAGAAUAGGAAAGAGAAGGAUAAGGGUGAGUUUGUAUGGUUUAGAUAUGGAUGAACCUCAAGAAAAAGAAAAAGGGUGACGUUCACACGGAGGGUUGUGUUGUUGACGUGGACCCUUCAAAGUACUUGCAUGAUUCCGCUCCAAAUGGACGGCUGUGAUGAGAAGAAAAGUACUAAAUUGUCAUUUUCCCAUUUUGGCCUUUCGGAUGGCACCGACUGAGCCUUUGUGUUCUUCGACGACGCACGUGCCAACCAAGUGGGCCUUUUCUUUAUGCAAAACGGCGGAGCCCAGCCCAAAUAGUUUUACCUUUGGCCCACUUAUUUUGUUUCCGUCUUUGUACGUGUGGUCCGUCUUACCACCUACGUCGUCCCACACGCCUCUUCCAUAUUAUUAUUGUUAUUCUUUUAACUUAUUCAUACCCUACCAUUAUUACUCUUUCAGGUGUCUCCCAUUAUAUCUUUUUCUUCAUUCUUUAACCCAACUCUAAUUAACACUAACUUUAACCUUUUUAUUAUUUUACAAUCUCAUCUACUUUAACAUUAUGUCACUAUGCAUGUUUUCAAGGUUGACUUUGACCCUUUUUUUUUUCUUUUCUUUUGUCUAACCUAACCCCACAACCCCAAAAGAGGAAACACCCCUUAGUUAGGAUGAUCUACUUCGUUAUAUAAUAACGUUGAUUAUUUUUCUAUAGCGUGAGAAUAUAAAGGACAAAUGAGGUGGAUAAGUACUAAACAAAAUGAAAUGACACAAACAACAUACUUUUGUAUGGGCCAUAUGUAAAAUUCUAUUUAUAGGAUUUUGAUAUUUUAUCCAAUCCCCAUCUUGUUAUGUUAUGUUAUUUGUUUAUCAAAUGAAUCGAUGUAUAUAAGGUAAGACUUAAAAAUGUUUAAAAAAAAAAAAAGAAGGGUGUAUAGUUAGAGUAAAAGAAAAGAAUGGGGGAGAGGGAAAAUGGGAAUUAGGAAAUGGUUUAGGGUUUAGAUAUUGAAAAAAGUGGUAAGGAGAAAGGUUGGGGAGGUGGGAGAGAAAAGCAGUUCUCAAAAUCACCUGAAAUCCCCCAACCAAAUGAAACUAAAAGCAGCAAUUGCACGCUCACUCCCACUUUCUUUAAUACUCGCGCCCGCGCGUGGCCUUUCUCUUCCUCAAAAGCACAAACUUCUUAUUUCCCUCUUCCCCAUUUUUCUAUUCCUUUCUUUUCUUUUUCUUUCUUCAAACAAAUUACAAAUACUAUUUAUUAUGAGUUAGUGUUUUAGUUAUAAUAACAAUCUCAUACUCACUAUUAUUUAUAAGAAUUGAUGAAUGUUUUGAUAUUUGAUUUAUUUGACAUUAAUUGUUACACGUUUAGGGACCUAUUUGAUACCUUAACAUGGCUUUAACCCACUCCCUGUAUUUUUUUUAUUUUUCUUUUUACUUUACUUGUUUUUGUUGUAUGGUCAUUUAAGGGCAGACUACAUAAUUCAUGGGUAAGAGGCAAAGAGAAAGGUGAAAGGAAUAUACAGUUUGCCAGUAUAUAUUUAAACAAAAAAACAAGAACUUUACAAAAAGCUCACUUCUUUUCUUGCAAUUCAACUCCAAUACAUACACACACACACACACACAAUAAACAAAUACCCAACUGCCCAUUAUUUAUUUCUCCCCCUUUUCCCCCUCUUACUUUCAACUUUCAAAACUACCAAAAUAUAUAAUAAUAAUAACAACAACAACACAUUACACCACCACAUAACCCAAAACAAUCCCUCAUUGUGUUUCACGAGAUGAUAAGUGCAACGUGUCACAUUAUGAGUGGCUUAUAUGGUAGAUGACAUGGCAUCAUGAGCCCCCCCCCUCCCCCCCAAGAAAAAGAGCAUUGGGGGGGAGCUUCAAAAGCAGUGCAUGAGGAGACUGUAAAAAGGGCAAAAAGGGAUAGAGUUGGGGUUUUGGAGUUUGUUUUGUUGGUAUCAUAAUUUAUAUAUAUAACUCAACAAUUCUCCCAUUCCCCCAAUAUAUAUAUAUACACAUACAUACAUAUAUUAUAAGGUCCUUUUUUGCAAUUUAUGGGACACUUUAAAAAAGGGGAUAUCAGAAGGACUUCAACUUCCUUGGGGCCUUUCUUGCAAUAAUGAGAUUAAUGUAGCAUAUUAUUAUUGCUUAUCCUUUGACUUUUUGGUCAACUUUAAAACCCCCCCUCCCACUUUUUUCCUCUCUUGCAUGAUAUAUUACUAUAGAGUAUAGGGUAUAUAUACUCUUGAAUGAAAAUUUUUAUACUUUAAUUAUUAUAGGUUUUCCAUAUGAUCUAUGUACAAUAUAUUGUAUUGCCUUUUUAUGAAUGAAGGUAUGUUGUAAUACAGAAGUUUCUAUAUAUAUAAAAAAAGGAAAUGUUUUUAGUUUUCCUCUUUUUAAUUUGGUUUAUUUUGUUGUGAUGGAUUGAUAAAAAAAAAGAGUCUAGGAUGGUGACAACUUUCAAUACUUUUUUUUGUAUGAUACUUUCAUUUUCGUGGAAGUAGGUAUUUUUAUAAAUAAAUCAUUAUAGUUAUGACUUUGGUGAAUUGUUUUUUCUUUUUCAAAAUUAUUGCUAUCAAAUUACUAUCAUUUUCAAUGUCUAUUUUUGUCUUAAAGGUAUUUGGGUUUAUUUAGUUGAAAAUGGGUUUAAAGUAACUCAUUCACAAUUACCCUAAAUAAAAUGGGUUUAAAGAGAGAAAAAAAAGGAGAUAAAUUAAAUGAUAUUUAGAUAUUUUAUUUAGGGUAAUUGUCCAGGUGUUAAGUACCACUAAUAAUUAAGUGUAUAUAACUAUACAUUUUUAAUUAUAUAUAACUAUAGCAAAAUUUAUUAGUAAUAAAAUAUAUUAAAGAUAGACUCCUAUUCGUGGUAGAUUUUAUUGUUAAUAGACUUCUAUUAACAAUAUAUAGUCACCAUUGAUAGAAUCCAAGAGAUGAAUAUCUAAGUUUUGCUAAAUUUACAAAUUCUUUUGACUAGAUUGAUGCAUUUGUAGUUGCUUUAAUCUAGUCAAAAUAAUAUUAUAAACAUACAUAAUUAUCCCUCAUAUAAUUUAUUAAUUUACUAAUACGGGUGUUAGGACACAUUGAAUUUAUUAUUUGAUGCUUCGAAUGAACAAAUUCAUAGGUUCUUAUAUUUACGUUGUUUCUCGCAUAGGCGAGUCACUACCAUCUAUAAUUUCUAUCUAACAAAAAGUUGCUUCUUCAAUCUUUUUGUUUAUGUACAUAGCAAACACAAACACAAACACAACUUUGAUGUCAAUUUUCUUGUGAUAUGUUUGAUAGUUAAAUACCUUUAGGUUAUGAACAUUUCUUUUUCUUGAUCAGUAAAAUUAAUAAGUUUAAAUUCAAUUUACAAAUCUACACAAAACAAAUUAGCCCAAUAUAACUUGAAGAAGAAAAGUCUCUUUUGAGUGUACUUUAUAUUUUCAAGAGAUCAUAUGAAUUACUGUUCCUUUAUUAAUCAUGUAGCAUAUUCCUAGGAACUUGUUCUAUAUUUUAACUUAAAUUAAAGCAUAUAUAUAUAUAGAUGCUUUUUCAACUUUGCUCUUAAAAUAAAAAUGAAAUGAAAUAAAAUAAAAUAAAAAUUCAAAGGGCAUAUAUUUAAUUUUAUUUUUAUAUGAAGGGGAAAGCUUUGAAAAAUUAUUGUAUGUAGGAGUAGUUUGUAGACCUAGACCCUAUAUAUACUUAUCUAAGAAUUUUGUGGUAAGCUUGAAAUAAUUAUGAGGAUUAAAAUCUUUUGUAAUAAUGUAUAGGAGAAUUGGAAACUCUAUAUCUCUUCCAAAGAAAAAAAAAAAAGUCUAAUGGUUGUUAAAGUAUGCUUCAAUUGAACCUUAGAAUAUAUAAGAAAUAAAUAUUUGAUCAACUUCAACCUUCAAACUUUGCAAUUCUUUCUUUCUACAAGGAAGGAAGUAAGUUUGGCUUACAAAUUUCUUUAGUUCUUGUUAGAAUAUAAAAUGUCAAUUGAACUAAGUUCAUAUAAUUAGGCUAUCAUAACAAAUUCCAUAAUCCAUUAUCUAUGGAGAUGUAAAUUUGCAAAGAUGUUUUGAAGGGUGAAGGUUGAAAAUCUAUUAGAAUAACCCUAUGGGCUACUAUAGGAUGAGAUAAACAUAUCUUUUAUAAGAAAUUUUAUAAAAACUCAAUAAAAAAAAACACAUGAACUUAGUUGUAUUUAGUUUAGUUCGACUAAAUUUUUAUCUAGAGUUUCAGAUAUUGUUGAACUGCCAAAGAGAAAUUAACGCGCAAUAAAAAAAUUUUGUAACUAAAAUUUUGAAAGUAGAAAGAUCACAAUAUGAUGAUUGAUAUUAACAUGACUAAAAAACAUAGAAUCUAGUUACUUUUAAUGAGACAUAUUCUUUUUGAAUUCAUAAAAGCGAGCUUGUUGGAGCUUAUCUCGAUGUCCUGUGAAAUUAGAUAAACGUCGACGAGGGAGAAAAAGAUGAAGAGAGAGGUAGUGUUACUCUUAUAUGUCAAAGAUGCUUCCUUUUAGGUGGCCAUCAAAGGCUUGGUGCUGAAACUUAUCUUAAUAUAUAAUAGAAUAGAAUGUUUAUUGUUGUUCUCAGUUGGGUUGCAAUUUUUGUUCUCUCUUAAUACUACAAAAGAAAAAGAAGAAUACUGUGGAAGAUUUGAAAUUUUUGAGAGCAGAGAGAAUAGAGUUUAAAGAGUAGAUUUUGGUAUGUGGGUUAGUUAAUCUUAAUCCUAUGUGAGCUGGAUCCACUCUCCCAGGAGUGACCCACUUUGAAUAAAAUAUUUCGAUAACCCAAUGAACAACGAGCCCCUAAAUAACUGAGAAAUCCCAGCUCCAACUAGGAAAACAGGGUUCUUCAACCGUUCUGCUCCAAUCUCUAAGAGCUGUAUAUAAAAAAAUUUCUCUUUCAAAAACCCUUUUUUCUUAUUCUUUCUCUGAUUUCAGUUAAACCCCAGAUGGAUUUUCUUAAUUUUCCCACUUUUUGAGUCCAAAGUUAAGUGGGAAAUGCAGCUUUCUCAAUUUUGGGUGUUUUUCUUGCUUUUGUUUGUUUGAGAUUUGGGGUAUUCAAGGGUAAAUCUGAAUCAAGUUGAGGGAUCGAUGUCUACGGCCAGUUCCAGUUCUGUAAGGAAAGCUGGUGAAGCUGUUCCCGACCAGUUUCCAGCCGGCCUUCGUGUUUUGGUUGUGGAUGAUGAUCCAACUUGUCUUAUGAUCUUGGAGAAGAUGCUUCGUAUUUGCCGCUAUGAUGGUAAACUUUUCAAUUCCAAGUUAUGUAUUUCUUGUUUCUUGGUCAUGGAAUCUCUCAAAUCUGUGUUAUUCACUUUGUUUUUGAAGUACCCAAAUGCAAAAUUGAUAGUUUAUUGGAGUCUCUGAGUGAAAUUACUGUCAUUUCUUUUAUCAUUUGUUCUGCUUUUUUUUUUUUUUUUUCUUGAGUUUCAAUUUUGGAUGUGAGAGUUUAUUGUGUACAUGAGAUUUGGACACAGGGUUUGGUUUAGUUUUCAACCACCCCCCUCCCCCCACUCUCUCUCUCUCUCAAGAUUUUAUUGAUUUAAGAUCGUGAGUUUCUUUGAAGUUUAUGAGUUUACUCUAAUUUUGACUCGUUUGCAUAUGCUAUCUCUCUUUUGAGUUGCCCAUAUUUGAAUUAGGAAAUGCGUCUAUCGUUUGGUUAGCCGUCUUUAUCCAGAAGUUGUGUUGUCAUGUAAAUGGUAAACCAUUAAUGGACAAGCUGUAUUGUUUUUGGGUGUUUCAGUAACAAAUUGUAGUCGAGCAGAGGACGCGCUCUCUCUACUCAGGCAGAACAAAAAUGGGUUCGAUAUUGUUUUGAGUGAUGUCCACAUGCCAGACAUGGAUGGAUUCAAACUUCUGGAAUACAUUGGAUUGGAAAUGGACCUGCCUGUAAUUAGUAAGGAAUACAUUUUGUUGAAUUUCGAGUUCAUAAUACUGAAUGAUGUAGCUUGAUGAACUGGUUUCUAAUGAUGGGACUUUGUGUAGUGAUGUCGGUGGAUGAUGGGAAAAACGUUGUCAUGAAGGGAGUGACUCAUGGUGCUUGUGACUAUUUAAUAAAACCUGUUCGAAUGGAAGCGCUGAAGAACAUAUGGCAGCAUGUUGUUCGCAAGCGGAAGAAUGAAUGGAAGGACUUGGAGCAAACUUGUGUUGACGAUGUAGAUCGGCAGCAAAAAACAAAUGAAGAUGCAGAUUAUUCAUCAUCUGCUAAUGAAGGUAGUUGGAGGAACUCAAAGAGGAGAAAGGAUGAUGUAGAAGAUCCGGAGGAGAGGGAUGAUUCAUCAACCCUAAAGAAACCGAGGGUCGUUUGGUCUGUUGAGCUCCAUCAACAGUUUGUGGCUGCUGUUAAUCAACUAGGAAUUGAUAGUAUGGAUCCUUCUCUCAUCUUCUCUUGCACUCUACUGUUUCAUUUAUGUUUGAAUGUAUGUCUGUAGAGAAAAUUGUAAACGAUUUCUAGGGAGUUAGGGAAUAUUUCAAACUUGAAACUAUUUUGCUCUAUCAACCCUCGCUUUGUCUUCUGGGUUGAAAUACUGAUAAAAAAUCAUGGCAUCAUUGACUCCAUUGAUGAAAUUCGAUAUUUGGCUUUAUGAACUUUUAAUUGAGUUUUAGCAUAUGAUUUUAGGUUUUUUGAGUUUAAGCAUACAUUUUUAUAAUUUCUUUUAAAUUUGUGGUAAGCCGUUUCUUACCUUUGUAAAAUACAAUCUAUAAUUACAGAGGCUGUUCCCAAGAAGAUUCUGGAGUUGAUGAAUGUCCCUGGACUCACUAGAGAAAAUGUUGCCAGCCACCUUCAGGUAAGGAUCAACCUAGAAUUGUGUUCAUUUUCAAGACUGCUUGUCUAUCCUAUUUCUGUAGCUUCUCUCCACACGACACUUUCUCAUGAGAUUCUUAGUAACACUGCACCUUUAAUGUAUAGAAAUACCGCUUGUAUCUGAGAAGGCUAAGUGGAAUCACACAACACCAGAGUAAUUUAAACAACACAUUCAUGAGUGCCCAAGAUGCAUUUGGCCCGCCACUGAACGGCCUUGAUCUACAAACUCUUGCUGCUGCUGGUCAACUCCAGCCACAAAGCCUUGCUACACUUCAAGCAGCUGGAUUUGGUAGGUCUACAGCAAAAUCUGGGAUGCCUAUGCCUCUUGUGGAUCAAAGGAACCACAUUUUUAGCUUUGAAAAUCCAAAGUUGAGAUUCGGUGAUGGGCAGCAGCCACAUUUGAAUGGUAGUAAACCAAUGAAUCUACUUCAUGGAAUUCCGACAACUAUGGAGCCAAAACAACUUGCUAAUCUCCAGCAUUCGGCACAAUCUCAUGGGAACAUGACAAUGCAAGUUAGCAUCCAAGGAGGCCAAUCUAGCUCUCAACUAAUGCAGACACCUCAACCACAAGCUCGAGCGCAGAUCCUUAACGAAAGUACCACAACUAGUGUAACAAGGCUUCCACAAACAAUGCAGCCCUCAAUUUUGCCUAAUGGGACUACUAGUGCAGUUUUAGCAAGGACUGAAUUUGGCAAUAACAACAGAGGUGGAGGAUACAAUCUAGUUUCACCAGCUUCAACAAUGUUAAAUUUCCCUUUGAACCAAACUGCAGAAUUGCCUGGUAACAGUUUUCCUCUUCAAAGUACCCCAGGAAUGUCAAGCAUCGUACCAAAGGGAAGAUUUCCAGACGAUGUUAACUCGGACAUUAAAGGAUCUGAAGGUUUUGGGCCAAGCUACGACAUGUUUAGGGAUCUUCAUCCCCAGAAACCCCAUGAUUGGGACUUGCAGCAUGUAGGCGUGACCUUUGAUACAUCUCAAGGUAGUCUCGACAUUCCACCCUCUGCUUUUUCUCACCAAGGGUAUGCCUCUAGCCAACAAAAUGGACAAAACAGGAACACGUCUACAGCAGGCAAGGCCAUGUUCUUGUUGGAAGAAGGAAGUGACAAUGGGAAUGCACAAAGUAUGGGGCAACAACUCAACCCUAUUUUCGUUGAUGGUUCAGUGAGAGUUAAAUCUGAAAGAGCUUCUGAUAUUAGCAGUCAAACAGACCUUUUCUCUGAACCCUUUGGUCAGGAGGACCUAAUGAGUUCACUUUUUAAGCAGGUUAGAUUGCAGUACCUUCUUUGUAUUUCCUUCACCCCUACCCCGGAUUCCACGGUGAUGAAAUUCGGUAAGCUUAAUGUAGUUGUUACUAAUAUUAUGGUAAAUAUUUUAUUUGACAGCAACAAGGAAGCAUAGCAACAGCUGAAAGCGAAUUGGAAUGGUUGUUUCAUCAUAAUACUCCUGUUUAGAAUAUUGCUUUAGCUUGGCAGUCAGAGUAUGCCCAUUGCUUAAAUUUGGUAAGAGAAGCAUGUGGUUUAGAUGAGGAUGGACCUUUCAAUUCAGCAGACAGACCAUUUAGACAGAUCACUCUAGCUGUAAUAUUCUGAAGCACAUUUAGCACUAAAGCAUACUAUGCAAAUUGCAUAUGUGCAAGAUUCUUUCGACUGAUUCCACAGAGAGACUAACUCAAGUCUAUUUGUGGAACUGGCCAUUACUGCGGUGCUCUUGACGCAUGGAAUCGAGAUUUUUGACGCAAUUGCAGGUUUUAGGAACCCUCCCCUUUAUGACUCCAAUAACCUACUGAAAUAAUACUCUUUCUAUGUUCAAAGCAAUUGCAGCUCACUUUCAUGUACAUAUUCUGUUAGAUGGUACAAGAAACAAUCCUAGAAAUACUCGGUUAUCCCGUUUGUAUUCCUAAAAUUUUGAGAUUGUCGUUAAUACGUCGUUGCCGUUUAUAUUUUUGUCUUUUUAGUUUCAGCCAUUUCUCUAGAUAUAUAGGCUCUAUUUUCAGAUCAAGAUGGUGAUUCUCAUGUUGAAGAACUUUCUGCAUAAUGUGAAAGCAUAUGAUGGAUAGGUUAUUUUAUCCUAUGGAUUCUGUAUAAGAGUAUUUAAGUUCAAGCUGGUAAAUAGUAUAUGAUAUGUAAUGUAAGGCAUCUUUGUUUGGAUGUUUUGUUGAUGGACAAGAAAAUGAAGUUGUCAUUUUUUUUUUUAAUAUUCAUUUGAACUGAAACUGAUUCAAGUCUUAAAAUUUGAUAUACUCAUCAUCUUUUUUAAUAUUCACAAACUAAUAAAAAAUUUGAAAGUUCACACAAAUUCAGCUUUAUGUUCAAUUAAUUAAUUGUAAAAGUUGGUCAAUAUGACCAAAAAAAAAAAAAAAAAUUGAACACAAAAUUAAAAUUUUUAAAAAAAAUUGAAGUAAAAAAAAAAAUCAAAAUUUAGAGUCAUUAAAUACUUUUUAAAGUUCAAUGAUCCUAAAAAUUAGGGAUUAAAUUAAGUUCAACCAAAUCUUUUCUUCCCCACAUAUUGUCAAAAAGGAAGAGAGAAAAACUUCAAUUUCCACUUUUGUUCCUUCGUAUUCUUAUAUCGUAUUUAAUCUUUGUACACCAAUUUUCAAAACUGAUACCAAGUCCAUAGAUGUGGCUGAAAAUAUAUGUGAUCCUAUACAUUUCCUCCUUAGUAACUAUUUAUUUCAUUAAAAUUAAUUAUAUAAACACUUUCUUCCCCUUUUAAAUAUUUUGUUUUGCUAUCUAUUCUUUUGCAAUUAUUGGAAAAAGCAAAAAAAAAAAUUGAAAACUAAAAUAAAAAUUAAUGAAAAAUACUUAUCAUACUAAAAUUGUCCAAUAAAUUAAUUUACUAUAGGGCAAAUUCUUCUUUCUCUUUGAAUUUUAUUUGAUGUGAAUGAUGAAAGAGAGGAGAAAAAAUUGGUAUAUCUUGAGAUGCACCAAAAUACUAUCCUUUUGGAUAAGAAUUCGACUAUCUUACUUGAGAAAGAUAAAAAAAACGAGAUAAAAUAUUCUUAAUUUCAAAAAUGAAAAACAAAUUAUUAUGGAAGGGACCUGAGAUUUGAUUAAAAGUGAGUUCUGUGCAUAAAUACAGAACUUUUCUGUGCCAAAGGAACAAGUAUUGAUGAUAAACACAAGAAGAAAAGAAGUAGGUGUACCAUUUAUAAUAACAAAGAUUACAAAACUUCAAAACAGUGUUUUUAACUACUAAAAGUCAUUUUAGAACCAAUCACAUACACACCCCUUUCUCCAUCAUAUUGUAGCAGAUCAAAGAAUACAAGCCAUGAGAGCUGGCUGAGCAAUGAUGCAUUUUAAACCACAGAUUUCUUGAUUUACUUUCAUUUUCAAUUUCAUGUAGCUUCUUCUUGUGUAGGGUGAUAGCAAUAAAAUCUACCAUCUCAGUCAAGGCUCUGAAAAUAUAUAUCAUCAUCUUCAAUCCCUCAAAAGAAUAAAAAAAUGAACAGCAGCUACAACACAAUCUCCUCAUCCUUCCUUUCUCAUUCCCCUUCCUGACUAUUGUUGAAUGAACAUGAACACAAGUACUAGCAUUAGGAUGCUUGGAAUGAACGAAGCUAAGUUCUUUCGGCUGUUGUUGGCUGGGAACAUUUUCGGAACCAAGCACUCCUCCCCAUUGAAGAACACUUUUGUGGGGAACCCAUCUCCUGCGGCCAUGUUAAGGCCUUGUAUGUUCUUCUUUGUAAAUGAGAUCACAGAUUGCUGUUUUCCAGGUACUCGUGGAUCCUUCACUGGGUUCGGCCCGUCUGUUUCUCCCACAAGAUAGUUAAGUCCAGGAUGACCCUGCAUAAAGAUGGUAUUGUUCAAACCAUCCAAUUCCAAGGUGGUUGCAUUGAAUGAGUACAUUGCCUGGAAACCAGGUGCUGCUUUGUUCAUCUGAACUGCAGCAAACCAAUCUGCAAAAUUCACUUCGCCCCAGUUGAAGAGAGUGAUCCUUGCACUCCAUCCAUCUCUAUAAUCAGUAUACAGAUGCCAAUUGAUGCUGACACCGCAGUUAUCCGCACAAGGCAUCGGGUUAGGAGAUGGGUAAUGUUUAAGACCAGCCCAAGCAACAGCCAUGGCAGUCCUAUUCUCAAAAGGAACAAGAAGGGCUUCAGGUGGGAGGAGCAUUGCAGGGGAGGUUGCAUUACAUGUACGAGCUGAGUUUUGUGAGCAUCCACAUGCGCACGUUCUGCACGGGAUGACGGAAUCAUUGUAGUAAGAUGAAAACGAAACACAGCACUUUGGUGUGUCAUCCUUGGCAUGUGUUAUAUUGCAAACAACCUGCCAACUGGCUACUGCAGUCGAAUUCAGUGGUAGACCGCUCGAAUCAGGGAAUUCACUAGGACUUACUCUCACUGGCUGGCCACAUUUAUAUGUGGGGUUAAGAAUGCCACUGAUCUGCCAAUUCUGAGGUGGUGUAAUCUGGGAUCUGUUAAGAUCCGGUGGCAUUUUAAACACUUGCAUCUGAAAUGCAGAAAUUGACUUGCUCGCGUCCAUAUGAGAUGGCAAAAUUGUCCCGUUUCGACAGCAGAAAGGGAUCAACCCAAGAGUGGUAUCGUUGGCCUUGGUUGGAGGUAAAUCAACGAUAGUUGGCCUUCUUUCACAACUUAAUACAUUGGAAAAGUCUAAAUCCCGAUAAUAAGUGCCUUGUCUACCAAAAAUGCAGUCGGUAGAAUCAACAACCGAAGGAUAAGCCCCUUUCAUUGAAAAGAUAAACUCAUCCCUCAUCCAAUCCCAGUUCAAUUUCCAAUAGUCAAGACGUCCAAGAGGAUUAUGGUUAGAAAUUGUAACUUGCGCCCAGUAGCUUGAAUCAUAUGUCCUUGUUACAUCAUACAUGAUCGUUAGAUCACCCUUUUGACGAGGCAAGAACUCUUGAGUUGUGAUAUUUGUUUUCACGCGUUUAUCGGGUAUGCAACAGACGUGCAUCUCACUCUUUCCUGAAAUUUUGAGAAAUGAAAUUCAAGCUCAAACUCAAACCCAGUUCAAGAAAUUUCAGGCAGAAUCAAAAUCGAAACAAAGCUUCCAAAAAACCCGCAAGAAAAGAAGCCCCACCAACAGCUAAUCGAACUCCCAAUCACAAACAAACUCAAUGUAAAGCUAAGCAAGACCCAGAUUGCAAAAAUUACAACUAAUCAGAAACUACAGAAAAUUUCAAUGGAUCACCAGAAUCGAGCCUUGUAGAAACAAAAUUACAAACGCGUUAAGAGCAGAAAGAAACCCAGAUUUGUAAAUCUUCCAAUAACUAAGAAACUGAUCAGAAACUGCAGAAGAUUUAGGAUAAUCGCUAGAAGCCAGUAAAAACCCAGAUUGUAAGAUUAUUCAACUCCUUAAGAAACGGCUAAAAAUUAGGGAUAAAUCACCAGAAGCUAAAGAGAUAGAGAGGGUACCUUGUAGAGUUGGCUUGGGGCAGAGAUAUCCAUCAUUGGCAAGGGAAAUAUUGGAAGGCAUCGGACUACUCGGAGGGGCAACCCCAAAUUGGGUCCCAAGUAACUUGACUUGGACUUGCAUCUGAGUGAUAUCCCCAGCAGUUUGAAUGGCCGUCUUCAAGUCGGUCAUCGGAAAACCAGCGAAGACAGUCCCAUUCCCAACAUUACCAGGGAAGGAAUUACCAUCGGCAAGGACAGCACCGGAGGCGGAGACCAAGAACUCAUCGUGUUGAAAGCCCACAAAAACCUUCCAAGACUUGAGCUCCGUAAGGCCGUUGUUGAGAACGGUUAGAGUAGACUCAAAUCGGUAGGGCUGACGAGCGAGAUCGGUGCUAUUUGGGGGAAGCUUGGUACCUUGAUCGAAAGAGUAAGACAAGAAGAUAUGAUUGCAGGAAGCGGCGGCGGGAGGUGGAGCUUGGUCAGUUGGCUGAGAAAUGGAAAAGGGUAUGGAUGAUGUAAAGAAGAGGAAGAAGAUGAGAUGGGGGAAAGCCAUAAUUUUUGGGGAAAUUGGGAGUAUGUGGGUUUUGAAAUUUGAAAAGAAAUAUAGAGAGAAAACGCGUAGAUUUGAGAGAGAAAGUGAGAAACAGCGAGAGAAAUGGUGGAAAAGAAUGAAAAUUCAAAGCACGUCGUUGAUGUAUAUGAGAAUUGAAAAAUGAAGAUUUUGGGGGAAGAAAGAAGCAAUACUUUGUGUAUUAUUUAAAAGAAGAAUGGCCGUCUAUGAGUUUGAGAUGUUCAAAAGGACUUUGGCCAAAACCAAAAGGCAUGAACUGGUGGGGAGACUAUCCGUUGAUUCAUUUUGAUUUUCUUUCUUUUGUUAAUUUACAUUUGGGGAAUAUGACGUAAGGAAAAUUAUUUAUUACAUACAAAGUGAAGUGGAACGUUGUUCAAAAUGAAGGAAGCCACGCACGCACCUUUAAUUUGAAUCAUUUUAGAGCCCAUUUUCUAACAAACUUCUUCACACCCAUAUACAAAUUCACACUCAUAAUUUUAUAGUUCUUCCACACAACCCGCCUAUAUAAACUUUUUAAGCUCCUCUCAAGUAUUUUACUCAAACUCGACUCUUUCCACGCUUUAGAAUUGAAUCGCACAGCGUAGAUGAAAUAAGAGCUUCAAGAGAACAACAAUGAAAACUUAGUAAGUUACGGAGGAUUAAAAAUAAUGAAAGUCGGUAUUGUAAUUUUACAAAGUAUUUUUAAAAAGAAAAAGAUGAUCAAAUAUUUUAGACAUUUAAAUCUUACACAUAUUCAACUCCUAGAAUUGAGUCUUUGAAUAUGCUUGUACAAGUUUUUUUACAAUUGAUUUAUGCUCAUUUCAAUUUAAAUCCAAAGACAAGGUAGAUGAAAUGUGUACCACCUAACCAAAUCAUUGUUAUUGUUACCUAUUUUAAUAAAGUUGUAUUUUGGUAUUGUCUUCCCCUAAAUUUGAUGAGUUCAAUCUUUUGAAAAACAAAAAGUCAAAAUUUUAGGUAAAGAUGCAACUAAGUCCAUAAAUUACAUCAUAGUUUUUUUUUUUUUUUUUAAUCUAUUAUUUGAUUUGGUCUCCACAUGUCCCUAAGUAAAUUUUGUUAAUAAUCCCAAGUGAUUGGAAGUAGAAAGGGUUUUAGUGUAUAUAAAUAAUGAAAAUAACAUUUUACAUAUUUCAAAAAACCAAACUAUAUGUAUGCUACAGAUUUAAAAUGGGUUCUACUAUUUGCUUCUAACAUAAAAUUAUAUUGAAUGUAACCUUAAGUAUAAUUGUUCAAGUUAGUAGUUCAAUUUUGUUUGCAUCAUAGAGCAUAGAGCAUAGAACAUGACUUGUUUAAUUCGAGUUAUAAUAGAUCUAAUUUUUUGUUUAUAUUUUCAUAUUUAAAAUUUUAAAAUACACAAAAUUGAAUAAAAACAGUGUUGGGGGAAAUGAAAGAAAAGCCCAAAAUGGCAAUUGUAGCCCAAUGAGGAAAUGAACAUCGGGGCCACACUUUGGGUACAUUUGCUAUCUUUUGUGGAACUAUGGCUUAAAGUAAGAAUACUAACUCACAAUAAUUUAACCCAAGAAAAGAAAACAUUGUAAUGUAUUGUAUGAUUAUGAAAUAAAAUAAAAACCACAAAACUCAAUUUUGGGUUUAAUAAAUUUUGGAAAUAUAUUCACGCAUUUUGUUAUUUUGUUUUCUUUCGUAAAAGUUAUUAUUAUCUAAUCAAUUAUAGUAAGAAAAAAAAUUAAAUUUAAAAGACUAAAUUUAAGAUUUAUCGAAAGUAAACUAACUAAAAUUAAAACUGAACAAAUUUUAAAGUUUUUGAAACACAAUAAUAUUUUGAGAUAAAUAUUGUUGAAAGUUACAUGAACCAAAUUCAAAAGAAAAUAAUAAUGAAAUAAAACAAACAAGAUAAUUCCAUGAGAUUUUAAAAAUAAAUCUUUUUAUUAAAAAAUAAUUUCCUAUUUAAAUGAAUAUAGUUAAUUGAAUGGAGUUAUGUUAGUUAUUAAAACUAUAAAUUCACUUUGAUAAAUUAAGAAUUUGGUUGUAAUUUACAUGUAUUCCUUUUCUCAAAAUUUAUUAUAUUCUACUAGAAAAUGUUUUAAAUUAGGUUUAUAGUUUUACAAAAAAAAAAAAUUACCCAAAUUUCAACAACAAAUGUAAGUUUUUAAAAAUCUAUUUAUUAGACUUUUCAAGUUUUUACUUGUUUUCGAAAAUAUACAUGUAAUUAGUAGAUAACAAGACAAAUAAAUGAAUAGAUUAAAUGUGUUUAUACAUUUAAUUUUUUAAAAAAUCCAAAUUAUAAAUUCUCUUAUUUUUGUUAUUUUUGAAAUUUAGCUACAAAUUGAACCAAAAGUAUUUGAUAAAAAUUAAAAACCAAAAGAAUCACUCAACAAGAUUUAAUCAUCAUAAAACUAAUAUUUAUAAGUUUUAAUUGUUUGAAAGUGUUUUAUUUAACCAUGAAUGUUAUUAUGAAUGUUAUUAUGCAAUUGAAGCAUUAACUAUAGAAAUUGUGAUGAUAAAACAAAUUGGUUUGUCCCAUCAAACUCCUUUUUAAAAGCAUACAAAAUUACAGAUCAAGUUGGUGACUUGGGACCUAACUUGUCUUUUUUGUGCCCUAAUUUCUUAAUCAUAUUAUUCCUUUAACAUCCAACUAAACCUUUUCUUCUCUUCCACAAAUUAUAAUCACAAAAACCAACAAAAGUAAACAUAAAUAAUAACUAAAUUCUCUUUGUUAAUGAUUCUCUUUUUCUUAUUUUGAAAACAACCAAGUUUUUUCUACUCUCAAAUAACAAAGGGUUGAGAACUAGUUUUUAGGGCAGUGAACCUUUUUGUAGAGUUAGAUGGGAACAGGCAAGCUUUUACCAUAAAUAAUUACUUUUAUUAAAAAAAAAGAACAAAAUAACAAAAGUUAGAAAAUGAUUAAUACAACACCAUAUUACCAAUCAGGACUAUUGAUUUAUUGUCGUUCAUGAUAGAUAGAUUUUAAGUCAUUUUGUUAUAUUUGAGUACCAACAAAAAAGAUGUUCUUUAUUGGUGUAGAAUCUUAGUUAGUCUAGAUUUUAUGUACAACUUAUAUAGCCUUUUCUCUUGCUUUUCUUUUCAAAAGUUGUUGGAUUAUUAUUUUUUCUUUGGUUGCAAUGUUGUACUAGUCUUGCAAGAGUGAAGUGGAUGGUGAUAAAAGAAGAAAAGGGAAGGAAAAAGGAAAAUGGGCAGUAUUGCCAACAUAGAGAGGUACACUAAUUGUAGGAGAAGAAAGUUAUAGACACGUCUUAGACUAUGCCAUUGUGUUUGUGGUUCUUCUUUUGGGUCUAAAGUGUUCUUAAAAUUCCCCCAAUAAUUCAAUUAUUAUAAGACUUGUGUGUGCCUUUUUCUUUCCAUUUUUCUUUCUUCCCAUUACCAAAAUGAUAUCAAUCCAAACAAAAACAAAAAUGGACGUUAAUAACAAAAUCUUAACCAAUAUACAUAAAUUACUUUAUAUCACAGUAUUUCUCAAAAAUAUUUACAAAUAUAGCAAAAUAUCAAAUUUAUGUGAUAUAUUAUUAUCUAGAUAAUACACUAUUUUUUUUUCUGUUGUGGUCCAUCGCACAUAGACAAUAACACUUUGUUAUAUUUUAAAAGUAUUUUGUCGAGACAUUUUUAAAUAUAGCAAAAAAAAAAGAUUGAAAUUAUUUACAAAUAUUGCAAAAUCUACCUAAUACAUCCUAAAUAACUAAAAAAAAUAAAAAGCAAAAGAAAUGAUUUUUAUUAUUUUACUUUAAUUCAAAUAAAUAUAUGUUACAAUAAUUGACAUAUUUUUUUUUUAGUUUUGGAAAUAAGUUGAAGUCUGUAGCACUAAAAAAAUGUCAAGAAAAUAGAGUUAAAAAGAAAAGUUUGUAGGUAUGUGACUUUUGAGAUUUGAACUUUUUAUAAAAAUGAAUUUUUUUCAGUUCAUAUAAAAGUGAGUUUGAAAUAUAGAUAGGAAAAAAAGAAGUGGUUUGAAGGAAAAGCAGUUUUUAUAAGCAUUUUUAGCAUUUAAAUAGAAUUCAUCACAAAGGUAAGUCUAUAAAUUAGAGAUGGUGUGUGUGGAAGCAACUCUUCUCUACAUUUAAAUACUCUAAUUUAUGAAACAUAGCGAAGGACGUUAAUAAUUACUAUUUCACUUUAUAUUUAUAUAUAAUGAAAAAGAAAAUUGAAAGAAGGGGUUGGAACCCACGUGGAAGUUGCGUGUUCCUUACGCGGCCUAAUAGAGUGAAGAACAAUAAUACCAAAUAAUGAAUGUCUAAUAUAUAUUUGGACAUUUUUCUUAGAAGGACAUUUAUAAUGUGUAAAAACUCAUCCACCAAAUAAUUUUGACAAUCAAAAUGAGUGAUACCAAUGAUUUAAUUCUUUUGUAUAGUUUUCAAAUAAUAUGUUUUAAUUAUGAUUAGAUGAAUAUUCUGAAAUUUAGUGAUAAUAACAAUAUUUUAAGUAAGUUUUAUUGGUUUUUUGAGGUUCAAGUGGAAGUUCUCUUUCCUAUAUAAGAAAAUGGUUUUGGUAUCAUGAUAAAUUAUAGUAAUUAAUAGUUUUAAAAAACUCCAAAUUCAGAGUUAGUUAAAAGCAUGUGUUUAAUUCAGUUAAAUUAUGUUUAAAUUAGUCUAAUCAAAGGUUUAAAUAAAAAAUGUAAAAUAACUUAAUGUAGGUUAACACAUAUUCCUUUUAUAAUUCAACUGAUAAAUGAUACAUGAAUUAAAAUAUAUACAAAUUCCAAAUUGAAUGGAUUUGAAAUACUUUUUAAGUGUUUGAUUUUUUUUUAUAUAUAUAAAAAAGUCAUUUUGUUAUAAAAAGAAAAUAAAGAAGAAGAAAAAUAGAGUAUCCUCAAAAUAGCUUUUGAGGUAUAUUUUAAGCAAUUUUCAUAAAAAAUAUUAAAUAACUUUUUUUAUAAACAUUAUUUUAAAUUUUAUUGUUUGUUUAUGGUUGAAAAUAUAAAGAUUUUAAAAUUCAAAAUGAUUCAAAUUCUGUUUUUAUUUAAAUUUUCCAGAUCAAAUGGUCGAAUUUUGCAAAGUUUGAUAAAAUCUAUUGAUAAUUGAUCUCAUCAUAUUUUAAUUUUCAAUUAACACAUUCAUAUAUUAACUUUAUGUUUUUUUUUUCAAUUAGCAUCAAACCAAUAAAAUUCAAAUACUUCAUUUCAUAACUUUCUCGCUCUAAAUAAAAUAAAUAUUUUAAAAUCAUCAAUCCAAACAAAUAUUAUUUUCAAUUUUUAAAAUUCAGAAUUUGUAAACUAUAAUUUUUAUUAAUCUUUUGGACAUGUGGGACGUUGCCCUUGAACAUACCACAUGGACUUUUUUUUUAAUUUUAUUUAAGUUGAUGGUGGAGUUGAAUUUUAGCAAAUAGGUCUAAAUACCAAUUUAGCAUUUGAAUGGUAUAUAUAUGCAAGUACUAUUCAAUAAAUGAGAUUUACAAAUAUUAUAUACUUGUAUCGGUUAACUACUCAUUCUAAAUUUUAACGGAUUUAGACAAUAUUUCAAUGAUCAAGAAAUCAAAGUUUAAAAUUCAAUUACAAAUUUUGUCAACAAAUUUGUUGAGUUUCAUCUAUGAGCUUUUAGAAAAAUGUAUAAUAUACAUUUUCGUAUUGAUUUAGCGUUGAAUAAAAUGAUGGCAUAUUAGAAAUGAAUGUGAUGUUUGAUAAAAAUUAUAAUAGAAGUGUAAUUUUUUAAAGUAUUGAUGUUAUAUAAUAGAUAUAGACAUUUAAGCUUCAAAAAUUCAUUAGACAGCAAAGGGGAAUCAUAAAAGAGUAAAUAUGAAAUUGAAGAAGAAAAAAAUGUAGGAAUUAGGUGAUGCAUUAUGCACUUAUAUGGUAAGUGGUAACUAUGACGAAUGUGUCCCACCUCUACAAGAAAGCAAAAACAAAAAGGUAAGAUCCAAAUAGUUGCCCAAGAUUACUUGAAUCAUCCAUGCUUUUUUAAAGUAAAUAUAGGAUCAUAUUCAUUUUCAUUUUAAACUUUUUUUUCUAAAAAAAAACAUAUACUUUUUUAGGAAUGCUUUCACAGAUACCAAAAUUAUAUAUUAUAUUUAUAAAUCGUAAUAAAAUUUUACUUUCUUAUCACUCAUACGUCUCGGAUGAACCAAAUUAACAUUUAUUAGUGUUUAUUACUAACCGUUUGAUAAUUAUUUUAUUUUAAUUUUUCUUGAAACUAUUUCUACAUUCAAUUUUCUUUAUUUGUUAUUUAUAUUCUAUAAAUAGUUUUAGAAAAAACAAACUAAAAUUUGAAAACUAAAAUGAAAAGUAAUUUUCUUUUUGGAAUUUGUCUAAGAAUUUAACCGUUGUAAUUAAAAAAUGUGCAAAUCAUAGUACGACAUGGAAAAUAAAUAGACAUAAUUUUUUUUUAAAAAAAAAAGUCAAAUGGAGUUGUAGAAAACACACUCUUAAUUAUUGUUGUAAUAUAUGUUGUAUCACGUAUUAAUAACAGAAAGAAUAACUAUAGAAACGCAUAACAUGACACAACAUUUAUAGAUAGGGUUUUUAACCAAAUUGAAAAAAAUCAUUUUAUAAAUAUUGAAAAGCAUCACAACUAUAUAACUUAUCAAUAAUGAAGUAUUUUGAAUCAUAUGUUUUCUUCAAGAUAAACGUUUAGUCUCCCCCUAAAUCAUUGACACGUGAACAAAGAAUUUGAUCUAGACUCCCUUUAGAUCAUAUGCUUCAUGCUUCACCAUUGUGUCAUCGGUGUGCAUACUGCCCUUGUGAGAGACUCUCCAAAGUAAUUUUUAACUUUAGGCUCUCCCUCACUUGCACGAAUCUUCUCAAACAAAGUGUUCAACACCACACACCACAUGCAAAAGACUUUCUCAACACAUAAUUUUGUUGCAUAUUUGUCAACACUUUUGUCUUCAACCACAUCAAUAUCACACCCGACCACAAGCCUGUAUCUUUUAGGUCACACGUCGUAACAAAACAAAAGCCAAGUUUCAUAUAUUUAUUAAUAAAUAUUAACCAAAUCUCAAGAGCCAACUUAUUAUAAGAAAUUAAGCUUCAAUCUUACCUUCAAUAAAAUAAACUAGUCAAUCUCAGUAAGUAACAGAGGCUAAUGUGAUGGAUGUGAAUAAUGGUUUUAUUUUAUUUGGAUACAAAAUAAGAGUGAGAUUAUAAAGAAAGUAAAAAAUGAAGAAAACGUGGAAAGAAGAAAAUGAAAUAUUAUAAUUUAUAAAGAUAGGAAGAAAGAAAGAGUUGAGAAAUAAAUAAUGAGUAGAAGAAAAUGAUUAUAACAAAUAAAAAAGAAAGAAAUAGGAAAUAAGAAAACGAACAAUUUAAAGAAGUUUUAACAUUAAUUCAUAAAUAUCCCUUUAGAAAUAUAUUUAUAAAUUUCAUAAUACAAAAUAAUAUGCAUAAGAAAUACACGUGACAAUUUCUAAUUAAAAUAAAGAAAUAAAUAAAUGAAAGGAAAUUGAAUUUAAUAGCAAAAAGGAUAUAUAGAUUUUCACACGAAGAUUCCUCUAAUUUCACUCCACUUUACCUUCUUAACUAAACGUGUCGGUUUCAGACUCUCCUUUUCACCCUUAUACUUCCAUUUUUUCCUACUUUAACCCCAAUUGUUUCUCUUUAUUCAUAAACAACCCCUUCCAAUUAAAAACCAAUCCCACUGUUUCUAAAAAACCACAUACCUUCACUUCACUUCACUAAUCUCCUUUGUAAUUCCAUUUCCCACCCUCUCUCUUCCCCCCACAAUGGAAACUCCCAUUCCUCUCCAAUUUCUCAUCUCUCUCACCGCGCUUCUCCUCCUUUUUCCCUCCGGAAUUUCAUCUCUUCCGGUCUUCCACCCCCGCUCCUCCGCCGGUGCUAAGUACCAAAUUGAAUGCACAAUGUGCUCUGCUUGUGACAAUCCUUGCGCUCAGUAUCUAUCUCCCCCACCUCCUCCACCGUCUCCUCCUCCCCCCGUCAACUGUCCGCCCCCGCCUUCUCCUCCCAGCUCCGGCACCUACGACUACUACUCUCCCCCCCCACCAGCUCAACCCUCUUACACAUACUCCUCCCCGCCGCCGCCGGGUGGAAUCAUCGGACCCGGGGGGUACUACCAGCCCCCGCCGUAUAGUAAUUACCCAGCUCCCCCGCCUCCCAAUCCCAUUGUCCCAUACUUCCCAUUUUUUUACCAUACUCCACCGCCGGGCUCUUCCGCCGCCGUCCCCCGUUUGACGAAUUCCUUGCCUUGCUCUGUUCUUACCGUUGCCCUGUUUUCCUUUUUACUUGCUUUGUUUUAAAUGCAAAUAACAGCAGACAGAAACUUGCAAUAAUGGCGGAUUUUGCAGAUCUGGGAAAUUGAUGGAGCUAAAUGAGAAAGAGAAAUUGAGAAAAAAGAAAAAGGGUUUCGAUCUUCGAAGAAGACGAUGAGAAAUUCACUUCAAGAAUUUGCAUUCUGUUGGGGUAAAGAAAUUUUCUUUCUCAUCCGGAAAUUUCCUCUGAAUCUCUUUCUUUUUACUUGACUCCAUUGUUAUUAGAUUGAUUUGUAAUCUGCUGAUUAUAUAUAAAUUGUAUGUGUUUUUACUUGUAUUCUUAACUCAAUUCCUCAAAAAGCAAAUCUGUAUGUAUCGAAUAUCUUCUUUAUGUUUGUCAUUUCAAUUAUAUUUUUAAAGAACUGAAUAACAGUGUUGGGACAGUGAUUUUUUUAUGUUCUUGAUUUGUUCAUCAAUGGCGGAUAUGGGUCUAAUCAUUUUAGUUUGUAAUUGUUGAAAUUAAUAAAGAAAAAAAAAAAAGAAACUUCUCGAAACAUUAUUGUUCAUAAUAUCCUGUUCUCUUAGACAAAAUUGUAAUUCACAAUCUCUUUAUCUCAGUUUUUAUAUUUGAACAAAGCCUUGAAUCAUGGGUCCAACUUGAUUUUCUUUUAAUAAAACUUCAAAGCUGUUUGACUGUUUGUAAAAGUGGUACUGUUCUUUGUUUAAUAUGAAGAUUCCACUUAAUUACAUAAUAACUUUUAACAUUUAUAAUGUUAAUGCAACAAUUUGUUCAUUUAAAUAGUUUCUUCAAAAUGUUAAUGGUAUAGGAAGGUAGCCAAAUAAUACUUUUAAAUAGUUUGUUUAAGACAUUUGUCACGUAAAAUUAGGACUGAUUUCUACUCUCUCUCUCUCUCUCUUUCCCUUCUACAUAUAAAUAAUCGUUUGUUAUUUUUUAAUGUGUUUUGAAUUAAAUAAACCAG
rnacentral:lncRNA from 1 species